rnacentral:tRNA from 1 species
GGCUGUAGCUCAGUGGUAGAGCGCUUGCCUAGCAGGUGUCUGGCACUGGGUUCGAGCCUCAGCACCA